GUCCCUGUAGCGCAAUGGAUAGUGUGUUGGACUCCUAAUCUAAAGGCUGUGAGUUCGAAUCCCACCUGGGAUG